AGACCCGAAACCCGGUGAUCUAGCCAUGGGCAGGUUGAAGGUUGGGUAACACUAACUGGAGGACCGAACCGACUAAUGUUGAAAAAUUAGCGGAUGACCUGUGGCUGGGGGUGAAAGGCCAAUCAAACCGGGAGAUAGCUGGUUCUCCCCGAAAGCUAUUUAGGUAGCGCCUCGUGAAUUCAUCUCCGGGGGUAGAGCACUGUUUCGGCUAGGGGGCCAUCCCGGCUUACCAACCCGAUGCAAACUGCGAAUACCGGAGAAUGUUAUCACGGGAGACACACGGCGGGUGCUAACGUCCGUCGUGAAGAGGGAAACAACCCAGACCGCCAGCUAAGGUCCCAAAGUCAUGGUUAAGUGGGAAACGAUGUGGGAAGGCCCAGACAGCCAGGAUGUUGGCUUAGAAGCAGCCAUCAUUUAAAGAAAGCGUAAUAGCUCACUGGUCGAGUCGGCCUGCGCGGAAGAUGUAACGGGGCUAAACCAUGCACCGAAGCUGCGGCAGCGACGCUGAUGCGUUGUUGGGUAGGGGAGCGUUCUGUAAGCCUGCGAAGGUGGCCUGUGAGGGUUGCUGGAGGUAUCAGAAGUGCGAAUGCUGACAUAAGUAACGAUAAAGCGGGUGAAAAGCCCGCUCGCCGGAAGACCAAGGGUUCCUGUCCAACGUUAAUCGGGGCAGGGUGAGUCGACCCCUAAGGCGAGGCCGAAAGGCGUAGUCGAUGGGAAACGGGUUAAUAUUCCCGUACUUGGUGUUACUGCGAAGGGGGGACGGAGAAGGCUAUGUUGGCCGGGCGACGGUUGUCCCGGUUUAAGCGUGUAGGUGUGUGUUCCAGGUAAAUCCGGUUCACUUUAACACUGAGGCGUGACGACGAGGCACUACGGUGCUGAAGCAACAAAUGCCCUGCUUCCAGGAAAAGCCUCUAAGCAUCAGGUAACAUCAAAUCGUACCCCAAACCGACACAGGUGGUCAGGUAGAGAAUACCAAGGCGCUUGAGAGAACUCGGGUGAAGGAACUAGGCAAAAUGGUGCCGUAACUUCGGGAGAAGGCACGCUGACACGUAGGUGAAGUGAUUUACUCAUGGAGCUGAAGUCAGUCGAAGAUACCAGCUGGCUGCAACUGUUUAUUAAAAACACAGCACUGUGCAAACACGAAAGUGGACGUAUACGGUGUGACGCCUGCCCGGUGCCGGAAGGUUAAUUGAUGGGGUCAGCGCAAGCGAAGCUCCUGAUCGAAGCCCCGGUAAACGGCGGCCGUAACUAUAACGGUCCUAAGGUAGCGAAAUUCCUUGUCGGGUAAGUUCCGACCUGCACGAAUGGCGUAAUGAUGGCCAGGCUGUCUCCACCCGAGACUCAGUGAAAUUGAACUCGCUGUGAAGAUGCAGUGUACCCGCGGCAAGACGGAAAGACCCCGUGAACCUUUACUAUAGCUUGACACUGAACAUUGAGCCUUGAUGUGUAGGAUAGGUGGGAGGCUUUGAAGUGUGGACGCCAGUCUGCAUGGAGCCGACCUUGAAAUACCACCCUUUAAUGUUU
rnacentral:rRNA from 1 species